rnacentral:tRNA from 1 species
AUUUAUGUAGUAUAAAUAUUAUUCUUGACUUCCAAUCAAGAGAUCUAACAAAUUAGCAUAAAUA